rnacentral:tRNA from 1 species
GGUGCCGUAGCUCAGCUGGUAGAGCAGCUCACUUGUAAUGAGCACGUCGAGAGUUCGAUCCUUUCCGGUACCUCUA